GGUUGUAGCUCAAUGGUAGAGUGCUUGCCUAUCAUGCAUGAAGUACUGGGUUCGAUCCUCAGAACCA
rnacentral:tRNA from 1 species